AGUGAACGCUGGCGGUAGGCCUAACACAUGCAAGUCGAACGGCAGCACAGUAAGAGCUUGCUCUUACGGGUGGCGAGUGGCGGGCGGGUGAGGAAUACAUCGGAAUCUACUUUUUCGUGGGGGAUAACGUAGGGAAACUUACGCUAAUACCGCAUACGACCUACGGGUGAAAGCAGGGGAUCUUCGCACCUUGGCCGAUUGUAUGAGCCGAUGUCGGAUUAGCUAGUUGGCGGGGUAAAGGCCCACCAAGGCGACGAUCCGUAGCUGGUCUGAGAGGAUGAUCAGCCACACUGGAACUGAGACACGGUCCAGACUCCUACGGGAGGCAGCAGUGGGGAAUAUUGGACAAUGGGCGCAAGCCUGAUCCAGCCAUACCGCGUGGGUGAAGAAGGCCUUCGGGUUGUAAAGCCCUUUUGUUGGGAAAGAAAAGCAGCAGGUUAAUACCCCGCUGUUCUGACGGUACCCAAAGAAUAAGCACCGGCUAACUUCGUG
rnacentral:rRNA from 1 species